rnacentral:rRNA from 1 species
UCGUUUGUUAGGGGUUUAGCUUGUUGAGGUGUUGGGAUUGGGCACGGGACAGCGGCGGGUGGAGCGCGAGCUAGGUGCCAGGCCUGCGGUAGCGGCGGCCGGAGCGCGAGCUAGGUUUCAGGCCGGCGGUAGCGGCGGCCGGAGCGCGAGCUGGGGCAGCAGUUCGGCAGCAGGGCCUCCAGCGUGGGGGGGAGGGGGUUCGAGGUGGGGUGUAGGUGGGUAGGAGCGUGAGAUGGGGGAGAGGGGCUCUAGCUCGGCGCCAGGAACGUGAGGUGUUAGGCUGCCGGCAGGAGCACAGGAGGACUGUAGGUCGGCAGCAGGAGCGCUUAGAGGUAGGGACGAUGGAGGCCCCGAGGUAGCAGCACGAGGGCGACGACGGCCUAGUCGACGAUAGCCCCGAGGUAACGGCCGGAGGGCGACGACGGCCUGUACGACUACGGUCCCUAGGUAGAGGUCCGAGUAAUGCGACGAUAGCCUGGAUGACGGCCCCGAGGUAGAGGAAGCUCAACACGGGGAGGGCUUAGGUCGGCAGGGGCACGGAACUCGGUUUAAGUCUAUGAACCGUUUAAACUAUAAUUACCACGUAGUACCUGUUUUGCACCAACAGAUUCGGAUCUACUCAGCUGUUGCUUCGAGCCCCUGCACUAUACCGCGAGCCACAUCCACCGGUACCACCUGGACUUCGACCGACUCUAUUCGCUACCCCAGUCACAACACGAGGAGGGCAAGAGUAAUUGGUUUAUCACGUCUGACACCGACAUACUGAGCACAUAUAUAGGUGAACCUGGUGGUUUUAGUUUGACUAUCGUUCUUGAACUAUAUCACGAUUCAAUAUCAAGCAUUUGUCUAGGUAUAAUCAAAUCUCUAGGCGUGUUGUUUAAAUAUGUAAGUCUUACUGGUGGUUUUAGGUCGUCGUGUUAAUUGAUCUAACCUUCUUAAAUAAACUAAUUAUACACGUGUACUUUGUUGUUUAAUUGGGCACACUUGAUAGGUGCAGCCAGACUCAAUACGACUUGAAAAACUAGAAAAAUGAUUGGUGUAGCCACCAGAUUUUCUUAAUUACUCAUCGUUGUGUCUGAUUCUUUAACGAUAAAUAGAAUAGAUACGAUUCUUUGGCCUCUGACUUAAAUGGUUGUACCUUCCUAAGGAGUUCUCGUGUAGUCGUGGACUUCGACGACGACGGCGUCGAGAUGUUAAAAAGAAGAAAGGCCUGCGGGCGUCGGACUCGUACGUUCUCGUCGUCGUGCUCGUCCGGCACGACACGUUGUAGUCGUCUCGCGAGAGUCACGUCGCCUUGAUGAGCCCGCAGAGACUACUGUCAUAUAAACUAUGACUUCAACUUCUAACAUCGUGCCGUAAGCAUGAUCAUUAUUAAUGUAUAGUUUCUACGGUUCUUCUGUUGAUUACACGGUCCUCCACGUCCAUGAAUCGGUGUGGAUCGUAACCUACACUCCUCCUGAACAUCACAGUACCUUGUGUAUACCGACAAACGUCAUAAAACCUGGUUGGUUGAAGUUAGUAAAGAACUUAGAAUACACACAAGACCUGGUAAACCACGAAGUUCACAAAACCUCAUCUUUGAAACACGAGUACAUACACUAAAUACACAAGACCUGGUAACAAACUUAAUCAAGUCUGAUCGUUUAUCACCGGGAAACUGAACACACAAGACCUACCAGUUUGAUACGAACACUUGGACACACUUAUAUAUAAAUACAUACAAACACUUGGAUAGUAGUAACAAAAGGUUAUACACAAGUAGAACUACAACAAACAACUAGC